rnacentral:rRNA from 1 species
UACACGCUGUGACUAGCAUAUCAAUAAGCGGAGGAAAAGAAACUAACAAGGAUUCCCUCAGUAACGGCGAGUGAAGCGGGAAGAGCUCAAAUUUGAAAUCUUGAAAGGUCACCUUUCACGAAUUGUAGUUUAAAGAAGUGUUUUCUGUUACGAUCGUAUAUAAGUUCUUUGGAAUAGGACAUCACAGAGGGUGAGAAUCCCGUCUAUGAUUGCGAUUUGUAGCUUUGUGAUACACUUUCAAAGAGUCGGGUUGUUUGGGAAUGCAGCCCAAAACGGGAGGUAAAUUUCUUCUAAGGCUAAAUAUUGGCGAGAGACCGAUAGCGAACAAGUACCGUGAGGGAAAGAUGAAAAGAACUUUGAAAAGAGAGUUAAAUAGUACGUGAAAUUGUCAAAAGGGAAGCGUUUAACACCAGUGUUGUUUUCUGAAAAUCAACCUCUGUUAGCUUUAUGCAUGUUUGUUUAGACCUAAUCAGCUAUCUUGCAUGUUCUAUUGUUUGCAGUGGUGCACUUUUCAGUUUACAGGUCAACAUCAGUUUUUUUUACCGUAAAAAAGUUAAAGAAAGGUAGCUCAUGGCUCCGGUCGUGAGUGUUAUAGUCUUUUUCCUAUGCGGUAGGAGAGACUGAGGUCUGCAGUGUAGGCUAUUUGGCUAGAUACUCAGGUGCUAUGUGAUACCAUUUCAUAAACAACUUGUUGAUUAUGUUUUGUCUAUUGCAUACUCGCUUGUACUAUCAUACCUACGCUUAGGAUGUUGAGUAGCGACAUACGCAC